GUGUUAAUUCGUAAGAAUAACGAAAAAAAGAUGAACUAGGAAAAAUUAACGAGAGUUUGAUCCUGGCUCAGAAUCAACGCUGGCGGCGUGCCUCAGACAUGCAAGUCGAACGAUUAAAGCUCUCUUCGGAGAGUGUAUAGAGUGGCGCACGGGUGAGUAACACGUAAGUAAUCUACCCUCGAGUGGGGAAUAACAACCGGAAACGGUUGCUAAUACCGCAUAAUGCAGCGGCACCGCAAGGUGACAGUUGUUAAAGAUUUAUCGCUUGAGGAGGAGCUUGCGGCAGAUUAGCUAGUUGGUAGGGUAACGGCUUACCAAGGCUACGAUCUGUAACCGGUCUAAGAGGACGGUCGGUCACACUGACACUGAAUAACGGGUCAGACUCCUACGGGAGGCAGCAGUCGGGAAUUUUGGGCAAUGGGCGAAAGCCUGACCCAGCAACGCCGCGUGAAGGAUGAAGUAUUUCGGUAUGUAAACUUCGAAAGAAUAGGAAGAAUUAAUGACGGUACUAUUUAUAAGGUCCGGCUAACUACGUGCCAGCAGCCG
rnacentral:rRNA from 1 species